rfam:Gossypium arboreum cultivar AKA8401 contig_8429_3, whole genome shotgun sequence.
AUUCCGUGAUGAGGGCACUUUCUUAAUAAUUCUUUAAAUCUCUCCCACACCUCAUACAAGGAUUCAUCAUCCAUUUGUGGAAGGUAGUGAUCUCAUUUUGCAACU